UACGGAGGGUGCAAACGUUGCUCGGAAUUAUUGGGCGUAAAGGGCGCGUAGGCGGCUUUGCGUGUCUUUCGUGAAAUCCCUCGGCUCAACUGAGGACGUGCGGAAGAAACUGCAGGGCUGGAGUCCGGGAGAGGAGGGUGGAAUUCCCAGUGUAGCGGUGAAAUGCGUAGAUAUUGGGAGGAACACCGGUGGCGAAGGCGGCCCUCUGGACCGGUACUGACGCUGAUGCGCGAAAGCUAGGGUAGCAAACGGG
rnacentral:rRNA from 1 species